rnacentral:rRNA from 1 species
AUUGAACGCUGGCGGCAGGCCUAACACAUGCAAGUCGAACGGUAACAGGAAGCAGCUUGCUGCUUUGCUGACGAGUGGCGGACGGGUGAGUAAUGUCUUGGAAACUGCCCGCUGGAGGGGGAUAACUACUGGAAACGGUAGCUAAUACCGCAUAACUUCGCAAGACCAAAGAGGGGGACCUUAGGGCCUCUUGCCAUCGGAUGUGCCCAGAUGGGGUUAGCUAGUAGGUGGGGUAACGGCUCACCUAGGCGACGAUCCCUAGCUGGUCUCAGAGGAUGACCAGACACAUUGUAAGUGAGACACAGUCCAGACACCUACGGGAGGCAGCAGUGGGGAAUAUUGCGCAAGGGGGGAAAGCGUGAUACAGCAAUGCGGCGUGUAUGAAGAAGGACUUAGGGUGGUAAAGUAAUGUCAGCGGGGAGGAAGUGAGGAAAGUUAAUACCUGAGCUCAAUGACGGUACCGGCAGAAGAAGCACCGGCUAACUCCGUG